GUGCUCGCUUUGGCAGUACAUAUACUAAAAUUGGAACGAUACAAAGAAGAUUAGCAUGGCCCUAGCGCAAAGAUAUUCCUCUUCCUUUGUUCAUAACAAAGCUUCU